rnacentral:rRNA from 1 species
AGAUUGAACGCUGGCGGCAUGCCUAACACAUGCAAGUCGAACGGCAGCGCGGGGGCAACCCUGGCGGCGAGUGGCGGACGGGUGAGGAAUACAUAGGAAUCUACCCUGUCGUGGGGGAUAACGUAGGGAAACUUACGCUAAUACCGCAUACGACCGAGAGGUGAAAGCGGCGGACCGCAAGGCGUCGCGCGGCUGGAUGAGCCUAUGUCCGAUUAGCUAGUUGGUGGGGUAAGAGCCCACCAAGGCGACGAUCGGUAGCUGGUCUGAGAGGAUGAUCAGCCACAUUGGGACUGAGACACGGCCCAGACUCCUACGGGAGCAGCAGUGGGAAUAUUGCGCAAUGGGGGAAACCCUGACGCAGCGACGCCGCGUGCGGGAUGACGGCCUUCGGGUUGUAAACCGCGUGUCGCGAGGGACGAAGA